GUGAGUUAUUUGAUUACGCAACCCCAUUGAGAAUGGCCUUCAUUCUGUUAUGCUGUCUGGGAGCCGUCACUGUGAUUGGGUUAGCUCUGGCUAUCUACUGCAUAUGCAAUCAGAAAGAUUACCACAAGAAGGAGAAGGAUGAAAUCAUGGAGGAGAAGGAUGUCCUCAGGAAGGAGAAAGGUAAGUAGUGUCUUCAGUUCAUCACUUUUAUAACAUUAUAACCAAUGUCUCUUCUAUAGAUGUAACUUCUAGUGAAGUAGGAACCACAUAAUGUUGUGCUAUUAAUGUUUCCUGACUUUUAUCUGCUGUUGGAACAUUGAUAUGAGACAAGGAG